rnacentral:rRNA from 1 species
CCAAUAGCGUAUAUUAAAGUUGUUGCAGUUAAAAAGCUCGUAGUUGAACUUCGGGAUUUAUUCAUUGGUCAGGCUUAAUUGUCUGUACUGGUGAGAUGAAUCCUCUACCUUCUGAGGAACUUUCAUGCCAUUUAUUUGGUGUGAUUGGAAAUCAGGACUGUUACUUUGAAAAAAUUAGAGUGUUUAAAGCAGGCUAACGUCUGAAUACAUUAGCAUGGAAUAAUGAAAUAGGACGGACUGGUUCUAUUUUGUUGGUUUCUAGGAUCACCGUAAUGAUUAAUAGUGAUAGUUGGGGGCAUUAGUAUUCAAUUGUCAGAGGUGAAAUUCUUGGAUUUAUUGAAGACUAACUACUGCGAAAGCAUUUGCCAAGGAUGUUUUCAUUAAUCAAGAACGAAAGUUAGGGGAUCGACGACGAUCAGAUACCGUCGUAGUCUUAACCAUAAACUAUGCCGACUAGGGAUCGGACGAAGUUAAUUUUAUAAUGACGCGUUCUGCACCUUACG